AAUAAAUCGAAAUUUACGACGGACCGUGUGGGCCGGGGACACGACGAUAAUAACAAUAAUAAUAAUAAAACAUUACGUAAACGUGAAAAAAAUAGAUGCGCGUGUAUAUAACUAUAGUGUUACGCCCGCAACAGAAUAAAACAAAUUCUGCCCCAAGUUUACCGGGCACGUACCCGAUUUUUUUUUUUUUCUUCGCGAGUUUUGCGCUUUUCGUAAUACUUCGGUUAUUGGUAUUGUACCGCAGUACGGUUCGUUUUCCGUGGACACACGGAGAAUGCCAGCGGACUGCCGAAAAAAUGUAUCCGUAAACACCUGCAUCUAUUUUUGCCACGCGUACAUAACGAUAACAUAAAAAAAAUAUUAUCAAAACAUUCGCAACUUAGAAUUAUUGUGUCGCGUACCCACGAUAAUAGUAAUAAUAAUAAUACGGGAUGAUCGGUUUUCCGCGGUGCGCUACGACUGCGCGUACCUUUACAAAAAAAUGUCUCGAAAAGUGUCCAUUACCGUUUUUUCGGAAUUCGCUUUUUGGCCAAUUUAAGAUAAUAAUAUUUGCGUGCGUGCGUAUACGUACCUACUUCUAAAAUUUCGUUGCGUUCUAAACCGUAACGCGUUAUUCUCAGGACCGCGUGUACCUCACCUAGAUAAUAUAAAUCAAAUUUUCCCAAAAAGAAUUCCGAACGAAUCGAAUACAAAGUCGGAGUGUCUCGCGGAAAAUCGCGAUCACUCUGUAUAAUAUUAUUAUUAUUAUUGUCACAUAUUGUCGCCCGCUUGACCGCCGUCGUUUUGUCGCGGCUCUGCCGUCGAGCCGUCCGCCGCCGGAUCGUCGACCCGAUAAUAAGGGAUUUUAAAACUCAUUUACUUCCACGAUAUUAUAAUAACAAUAAUAAAUAGUCGUUAUAUUAUAUUAUACGAGGAACAAUAUUUUUAUAUAAGUUUUAUAAGCGCGUUGAAUUAAAAAAAAAAAAUUAUUAAUAAAUAACAAUAAUAAUAUUAUUACUAUUAUUUAUAUUAUCUUCGUGUGCGAGUAUUCGAAAUAUUUCCGUGUCCGGGUGAAAAACUGAAGUCUGCAAUACGGGUACUCUGAAUCUUUUUCCAGAAGUAUAAGUAUACAAUUAUGUAUCCUUGGUUCCAGGAAAGGACUUAUCUGAGUUAAUUUUGUGUAGUUUUCAAUACGAGCAAAUUAAAUGUUGAGAAUUGUUAAAUGGCUAAAUUGCUACUAUAAUUAUGACUAACGCCUUUUUUGCCAAACAAAAAGUAUAUGGUGACUAAGUACUUUAAUUUUCACCAUUUUAGUCACUCGUGACUUAUUGUCAUUUACGCCAAAAAAUAAUGGGAAAAAUUACAUAAGACAAAAUUUUAGAAAAAAAAAAUACCAAAAAUUGACGUGGGACCAAAGAUACGAGAUAUUUUAUGAAUUUUCCAAAAACAAGCUUAAACAUUUGAUCCUAUUCGACCCAAUCAGAAAUAUUUUGUAACUGGUACUUAAUAAUUUAAAUAAAUAAAUUAUUAAUUAAAAAUAUUCUCUGGCGUUCGGUGAAAAAUUAUGAACGUUAUUCUUUUAAAUAUUUUCGUAUAUUAUCAAAAUGCUAGAUAUACACAAUUUCACGGAUACAGUGUGUAUUGUAAUAAUAAAAUUAUUAGGUAUUAUUUAUCUGUAAUCUGUGGUAUUUGAUUUUCAUAAUGUUUCAUGGUUAUUCGGUGUCUUUUAUUAUUAUACAGGUGUUUUACAGCUAGUGUUAUCCGUAUGCUGAUAACUCUAUCAAUAUUCAAUUUUUUUUUUUUUUUCAAUCGGGUUUUGCUCGAGAGGUCACACGUUUGGAGAAAAAUAAAAUGAAUAAAAUAAAAUUGCAUCUCUUAAUCACCGAAUGAAAGUAUAAAUUUAAUUUUUCUUUACAUACUUGUGUAUACACUCGCACAAAACCUGAUUAAAAAAAAAAUAAUAAUGAAUAUUGCCAAAAUUAUUAGUAUACGAAUAACAUUGUAGGACACUCUGUAUAAAGCACUUAAUCUCAAUAAUAUACCUAUUUUAAUAAAUAUUUUUGGAUAUUCUGGACAUUCUCGAUGACGAUUACCCGAACGGAAAUAGGUUAUACAAAUAAAGAGAAAUAUAUACAAAACAGCAACAAACUUAAUAUUUCGAACUCGUAUACAUCCAUCCUCCUCCAAAAAAAAAAAAAAAAAUAAAAAAAUAAAAAAAAAAAUAAAUUAUAUACUACUAUAUCUAAAUGUAUAAUUAUUAUUAUUACUAUUAUAUAAAUUAACUUUAUACUAUACAACAAUUCCACGAACAUAUACUUGUUGCGAUAUCUCCCGAGAUAAUGAAGAUAAUCAAAUACUUAUGUGGAUAAAAAAUAUUCAUAUUUCAAUUAAAUCUCUGCGAUAGAAAAAAAUAUAAAUGUAAUAACCUUUUAUUCUAUUACUUUCAACAAAUUAGCCAGUUUAUAGAGUUUAGCUAUUCUCUGAACAUUUGAACGGUUUGACUAUUUAAUUUCAUUAACAUUAUGAUAUUUAAUAGUUUUUUAGUUUACAGAAAAAUAGUGUUUAAAGCCUUAUUAAUUAAUUAAAGCCUUAAUAGUGUUUUAAAAUGAUCUCAUCUCGUUUUUUUUUUUUAUUAAAAAUCUAUUACGUAAUAUUAAAAGAUUUUUAUGUUUAAUAUAGGACAUAGAUAAUUUUUAUCAUUUUUCUGUAAACUUUUUUUAAAAUUAUAUAAGAAAUAUUCAUAAAUGCAUACAAUAAGUAGAUGCCUACAUAUAAUAUGAGUCAGGGAAUAAAAAACAGUAUUGGGGUUUCAAGAGGGUAAGUUAUUCUUUUUUUAAACUAUAGUUAAAACUGAGUUACUUUAAUCUAAAAACUAACCAACUAAUAAAAUACUGUUAAGUAGAAUAGAAGUUAUUUUUUAAAAUGUUCUAAAUUCCUAACUUAGUUAGAUGUUAGUUAAUGAUAAUAAGUAACUUAAGUUAAAAUAAAAGUUAAAAGUCAGUUAGGCGUUUUUUCAUAAUUUAAAAACCGGAACGAAAUUAUUGGUAAUAACUGAUAGUGCAAUGAUUUAAUUAAAUUGGUAGUUUAAUCAAAAUGUUCGAAAGAACAAAUUCUAUAAUAGACAUCUUCAAAUAUAUUUCAAAAAUAAUUUAAAAUAAAGUCAUUUUUUACCAAAACUUAAUUCAAAUAUCAAUAUAUUUGUAGUUCUUACCUCUGUAAAUUGUGUAAUUAUGAUAAUAUAAAUUUUAUAAUUAUGUAUAAACAUAAAAAAAGUUACAGAUUUUGAUUAUUUUGAUUAUCCCAGGAGAUGUAGAAAUGGAAAUGGGUAGAGUUAUAUCUUCGUGGGACACUGUAUAUUAUGAUAUAAUUAAUUUUAUUACAUUGUAAUAUACAUAUACUAUAGCAAGUAAGAGACAUGAUUUUAUAAUAAUUUAUUUAAUAAAUACUAAUAUUUGGCGCAUAUACAAGCGCAAGGAUAGAGUAAUAGCUAGGUAUUUUUUUUUUUUUUUUUUUUUUAAAUAAUAUAAUAUAUGAAUAUUAAAAAAGAAAAACCAUUCUGAAAUUUAACAGUUUUUAUACAAAAUGUUACUCAAAACUAUUACUAUAACAUAACAUUGUACAACAAUAAUAGCUAGGUACCUAUAUAUGUGUAUACUUAUUUUAUAAAACUGCUAUUUAAUAUAAUAUAUUUUUACAUUUAAUAUUAUAUGAUAUUAGGUGUAGAAAAAAAAAAAAAAUUCUGUGUGUGAUGAAUAUAUUUUAAUUUACAUUUCAAAAUAAUAUUACAUAAAUAUAAUAUACUGUGUAGUGAUACGUAGGGAUAUUAAAAUAUUGAGCUGUUGAAAUAUUAAUAUUAUAUUGUUUUCAUAUCGUUAUAAUAUUAUGUGGUAUUUAUGUGACGAUUCUCAUCGUUAUAAUAAUAUUAUGGAUCGAUUAUAUUAAGACAAUAAUACAUAAUAUUUAUUAUUAAAAUUAUUUUAAUAUUAUAUAUCAUAUCCGAGAGCACCCAUAUUAUGUAAAGAGCGAAGCGAAAAUAUUGACAAAGUAUUAACCAUGAUACCAUUCUAUACAUAUUAUUAUAAUGGUAGUGAAAAUUUGAAAUUCAAUUCCGAAGGCCGCAGUUUGUAAAACAAUAAUAAUAAUAAUUUAUUUUACGCGUAAGAUUAAAUGAAUUAAGAAUAAAAAAAAAAUACAUACAUAAAUAUAUUAAUAUUACGAUACAAUAUACUAUAGUUAGUGUGAAUUAUAAUAAUUAUGGUACUUACCUACCAAUAUAAUAUAUAUUAUUUAAUAAGAUUUAAGUUUUCUAUUGUGAUUUUUUUUUUUUUCAAAUUUUCAGUGUUAUUAUUAUAAUUAUUAUAAUAUUAUAACAUAGGUACAUAUAAUAGGUAAUGUUAUACCUAUAUACCUUUUAAGAGGCGUGUGAUUUAUUUAUAUAAUAAUGUGUUGAUUAGUACAUAAAAUAAUAUUCAAAUAUUGUGUGCUAUUAUAAUACACUAUACAUUUACUAUUUUGAAUAAAUUGUCGUUCCC
rnacentral:lncRNA from 1 species